rnacentral:rRNA from 1 species
UUGUCUCAAAGAUUAAGCCAUGCAUGUCUCAGUACAAGCCAAAUUAAGGUGAAACCGCGAAAGGCUCAUUAAAUCAGUUAUGGUUCCUUAGAUCGUACCCACAUUUACUUGGAUAACUGUGGUAAUUCUAGAGCUAAUACAUGCAAACAGAGCUCCGACCGGAGACGGAAGGAGUGCUUUUAUUAGAUCAAAACCAAUCGGUGGCGGGGGCAACUUCGUCAUCGUAUAAUUUGGUGACUCUGAAUAACUUUACGCUGAUCGCACGGUCUUUGCACCGGCGACGCAUCUUUCAAAUGUCUGCCUUAUCAACUGUCGAUGGUAGGUUCUGCGCCUACCAUGGUUGUAACGGGUAACGGGGAAUCAGGGUUCGAUUCCGGAGAGGGAGCCUGAGAAACGGCUACCACAUCCAAGGAAGGCAGCAGGCGCGCAAAUUACCCACUCCCGGCACGGGGAGGUAGUGACGAAAAAUAACGAUACGGGACUCAUCCGAGGCCCCGUAAUCGGAAUGAGUACACUCUAAACCCUUUAACGAGGAUCAAUUGGAGGGCAAGUCUGGUGCCAGCAGCCGCGGUAAUUCCAGCUCCAAUAGCGUAUAUUAAAGUUGUUGCGGUUAAAAAGCUCGUAGUCGAAUUUGUGUCUUGUGCCGCCGGUUCAUCGUCCGCGGUGUUAACUGGCGAGUCAUGAGACGUCCUGCCGGUGGGCUUAGCCCGUGAGGGCGGUCCAAUUCAAUCCUGCCGCGGUGCUCUUCAUUGAGUGUCGAGGUGGGCCGGCACGUUUACUUUGAACAAAUUAGAGUGCUUAAAGCAGGCUAAAAUUUCGCCUGAAUACUGUGUGCAUGGAAUAAUGGAAUAGGACCUCGGUUCUAUUUUGUUGGUUUUCGGAACCCCGAGGUAAUGAUUAAUAGGAACGGAUGGGGGCAUUCGUAUUGCGACGUUAGAGGUGAAAUUCUUGGAUCGUCGCAAGACGGAAGACGGACAGAAGCGAAAGCAUUUGCCAAAAACGCUUUCAUUGAUCAAGAACGAAAGUUAGAGGUUCGAAGGCGAUCAGAUACCGCCCUAGUUCUAACCAUAAACGAUGCCAGCUAGCGAUCCGUCGACGUUCCUCCGAUGACUCGACGGGCAGCUUCCGGGAAACCAAAGCUUUUGGGUUCCGGGGGAAGUAUGGUUGCAAAGCUGAAACUUAAAGGAAUUGACGGAAGGGCACCACCAGGAGUGGAGCCUGCGGCUUAAUUUGACUCAACACGGGAAACCUCACCAGGCCCGGACACCGGAAGGAUUGACAGAUUGAGAGCUCUUUCUUGAUUCGGUGGGUGGUGGUGCAUGGCCGUUCUUAGUUGGUGGAGCGAUUUGUCUGGUUAAUUCCGAUAACGAACGAGACUCUAGCCUGCUAAAUAGGCGUUUUUGACAUCCUAAAGGCCCGUCGUCAUGGGGCUUCGGCUUCAUGUCGUUAGUGGUUUUUACUGUUGACGUAUAAACAAAUCUUCUUAGAGGGACAGGCGGCUUCUAGCCGCACGAGAUUGAGCAAUAACAGGUCUGUGAUGCCCUUAGAUGUUCUGGGCCGCACGCGCGCUACACUGAAGGAAUCAGCGUGUCCUCCCUGGCCGAGUGGCCCGGGUAACCCGCUGAACCUCCUUCGUGCUAGGGAUUGGGGCUUGCAAUUGUUCCCCAUGAACGAGGAAUUCCCAGUAAGCGCGAGUCAUAAGCUCGCGUUGAUUACGUCCCUGCCCUUUGUACACACCGCCCGUCCCU